AUUGGAGCCGUAAACUUUAGGAAUACCGGUCUCAUUGUUAUUUGGUGAACCGUUGGACACAGUACUUUGUGUUUUAUGUCUAUUGGUUCAGUAAAUAAUGGCACAUUU